rnacentral:lncRNA from 1 species
CGAGCCGCCCAGCCCCGCGCCUGGCGUACCUCCGCCGUCGCCUGCGCCGCCCAGCCCCGCGCCUGGCGUGCCUCCGCCAUCGCCUGUUCCGCCCAGCCCUGCCCCCGGCGUGCCUCCGCCGUCGCCUGCGCCGCCCAGCCCCGCGCCUGGCGUGCCUCCGCCGUCGCCUGCGCCGCCCAGCCCCUCGCCUGGCGUGCCUCCGCCGUCGCCUGCGCCGCCCAGCCCCUCGCCUGGCGUGCCUCCGCCAUCGCCCGAGCCGCCCAGCCCCGCGCCUGGCGUGCCUCCGCCGUCGCCCGAGCCGCCCAGCCCCGCGCCUGGCGUGCCUCCGCCAUCGCCUGAGCCGCCCAGCCCCGCGCCUGGCGUGCCUCCGCCAUCGCCCGAGCCGCCCAGCCCCGCGCCUGGCGUGCCUCCGCCGUCGCCUGCGCCGCCCAGCCCCUCGCCUGGCGUGCCUCCGCCAUCGCCCGAGCCGCCCAGCCCCGCGCCUGGCGUGCCUCCGCCGUCGCCCGAGCCGCCCAGCCCCGCGCCUGGCGUGCCUCCGCCGUCGCCCGAGCCGCCCAGCCCCGCGCCUGGCGUGCCUCCGCCAUCGCCUGAGCCGCCCAGCCCCGCGCCUGGCGUGCCUCCGCCGUCGCCCGAGCCGCCCAGCCCCGCGCCUGGCGUGCCUCCGCCGUCGCCUGCGCCGCCCAGCCCCGCGCCUGGCGUGCCUCCGCCGUCGCCUGCGCCGCCCAGCCCCGCGCCUGGCGUGCCUCCGCCGUCGCCCGAGCCGCCCAGCCCCGCGCCUGGCGUGCCUCCGACGUCGCCUGCGCCGCCCAGCCCCGCGCCUGGCGUGCCUCCGCCGUCGCCUGCGCCGCCCAGCCCUGCCCCCGGCGUGCCUCCGCCGUCGCCCGAGCCGCCCAGCCCCGCGCCUGGCGUACCUCCGCCGUCGCCUGCGCCGCCCAGCCCCGCGCCUGGCGUACCUCCGCCGUCGCCUGCGCCGCCCAGCCCUGCCCCCGGCGUGCCUCCGCCGUCGCCUGCGCCGCCCAGCCCCGCGCCUGGCGUGCCUCCGCCUUCGCCCGAGCCGCCCAGCCCCGCGCCUGGCGUGCCUCCGCCAUCG